GAAUUAAAAUUGGACCACCCUUUCUUACCCACAAUCAAAUUCCAGAGAAACCAAUUGUGAUGCUAAUGAAGGAAAUAGUCAUGGACUUCAUAUUUCUCUAAGUAUUUUCAUGGCCAUCCAUUUGUGGAUUGCAAUAUUUUCCUAACCCAGCUGUCUUUCUGAGUCACUGCCUCUGCCCCAUCCUCUUAGAUGUGACACAGAACAUUU
rnacentral:lncRNA from 1 species